rnacentral:rRNA from 1 species
CGAACGGGUGAGUAACACGUGGGCAACCUGCCCAAAAGAGGGGAUAACACUUGGAAACAGGUGCUAAUACCGCAUAACCAUAGUUACCGCAUGGUAACUAUGUAAAAGGUGGCUAUGCUACCGCUUUUGGAUGGGCCCGCGACGCAUUAGCUAGUUGGUGGGGUAAAGGCUUACCAAGGCAAUGAUGCGUAGCCGAACUGAGAGGUUGAUCGGCCACAUUGGGACUGAGACACGGCCCAAACUCCUACGGAAGGCAGCAG